UGCUUACCAAUGAUGGCAUAAUAAAUGUCUGAACAAAUGAUAUCAGUGUGAUAUUAAGAUUUGACUGAGGUAAGCU
ensembl:snoRNA SNORD72 small nucleolar RNA SNORD72